AGAAUAACAUCCUUGGGGACCUUCAGGAUCAGUUUACUCUGAAAAUGCUCAGCCUUACAAAGGGUCAGAGUCACAAGCAAUACAAACUGCAAAUCCAACAUUACUGCCUGGGUAGAAUUCGUCUGAAAAAGUCUGUUUACAUUCAACUGAAUAUCAGUGGGCCUCUGGCACUAACAGGCCUUUCUAGACCAGCAUCUAAAUAUGAAAACAAACAAACCUAGCCCUAAAGUAUCUCUCCUAAGUUGGAUCAUUCGCUACAAGAGACUAGGUGGCUCAAGGGAAUUGGUAAUGGGAUACUGAAGCCACUCACCUUGAGGUUGCCCAUCUGAAUCCAAUCCAGUUGGAGACGAGCUUUUACUGAACCCUGCAGCACAGCCAUCCAAAUACAGACAGGUAAUCAGGUAACCCGACCCACUUGAUACCUACCUGAAAAAAGUACAGGUUGGGUGUGCAGUAUCUAAGCUAAUUACUCAAAAAUGAUUGCCUGGAUUUGAGCCAAGUAUUAUCUCACCACUCUUCAGCACUCCUGCGAUGGCAUGAGUGGGACAGAAAAUACAGUAACCUGAGAAGGAGAUAAGAACAAGAGAGAACAGUGAGAAUGCUCUUUGGCUGUGCAGUAGAUGUUCUGUCUCCCCACUGUUCUUUUUCCUGAUCUCACCCUGGGGAAAGCAACCUGUAUGCACCAUUUUUUACCUUUUGAAUAAAUCAAUAGCCAGAAUAAAUGUGAGAUACCAGGCACACAUGCAUGCAUGCUCUGUGAACAAAUUUACUCCACCUCUUGGCUUUCUAUAUCAUUAGGCCCAUCCUAGUAAAAAAGCAGACAUGGUGAUUUUUUUUAUACAUCUGUCUUGUUUUUAUAAAGGGAGCCAUUAAAAGUGUACCAGCCCAACACCUUUACUUACUACUCAGAUAACUGAUAGUGACUAUAUUCUUAGUUUGUGCUCAAUAAAAUAGGUAAGUAAUAAGUAUUAAUCCAAAGGCCCAUAGGAGACAAUAGAAAGGGAUCUGGUGCUUUCAAUGAGUCUUGGCCUAUGGAAAGUAGCAAAUUUUGUUAUAGGUGCAUGCAGCUAGCCACUCAGCUUUUAAUAUAGCGUACAACUUCCUUGUGUGAUGCUAGUGUAGGGAUUUGGGGAAAGGUCAGUGAAUGAGUUUAAAGGUGGUAAAAAAAAAAAGAUUUAGAACAUCUCUGUACUUCUCCUGUGACCUUGCUAGCAUCUGAACGUCAGGGUUACGUGCCAAGGGUUUUAUGUAAGGAUGGAAGAAAUCAUUGGCCACAUUCAACAUUCAUUUGCAAAUCCUGGCUUCUGUAUUUAACCUAGAAUUAGAACCUUUUGAAGUAUUUGUGGA